UGGGGAAUUUUGGACGAAUUGGGCAAAAGCCUGAUCCAGCAAUGCCGCGUGUGUGAAGAAGGCCUUCGGGUUGUAAAGCACUUUUGUCCGGAAAGAAAUCCUUGGCUCUAAUACAGUCGGGGGAUGACGGUACCGGAAGAAUAAGCACCGGCUAACUACGUGCCAGCAGCCGCGGUAAUACGUAGGGUGCAAGCGUUAAUCGGAAUUACUGGGCGUAAAGCGUGCGCAGGCGGUUUGCUAAGACCGAUGUGAAAUCCCCGGGCUCAACCUGGGAACUGCAUUGGUGACUGGCAGGCUAGAGUAUGGCAGAGGGGGGUAGAAUUCCACGUGUAGCAGUGAAAUGCGUAGAGAUGUGGAGGAAUACCGAUGGCGAAGGCAGCCCCCUGGGCCAAGUACUGACGCUCAUGCACGAAAAGGCGUGGGGAGCAAACGAUUAAUNCCCUGGUAGUCCACG
rnacentral:rRNA from 1 species